AUCCUCCUGACAGCUCCCUGUGGUGUGAAAAGGAGCUAUCAUCUACACUUGCUGCAGGUGAGAUGACUGUCCCGGCAAUGGCCCAAGGCCCAUCCUCUCUCAAUGUGACUGUUUAUCCAUGUUACUCCAAGAGAAUCUAACAGUUAAGGGGAGAAAAAGCUGCACUGCUUGCUUCCAGAGCUAACUGUGUCCUCCCUGCUGUCCUCCCUGCUCUGGGCCACAGCGAACACUGGACAGUGAUAUUAAAACCUAGAGCAUGAAGAAGCCAGUGAGGAGAAGCUGGUGAGAGGCUCUGCCCUCAGAUGAGAGGAACUGGAAUUCACACAUGCUCCGUCUGCCUCUGCAAACUUCGGAUGACUCAGUGUCUACCCAGCGCCUGGUCAUCGGCAUUCCUGCCAAGUGGGUCUCAGGACAAAGAAAGGACAUGACUGCCUGAAGAGGGCCCAGACAUGCAGUGGGGCAGGUGCUGGCAUCUGAGAAAGUCCUAGGAGAGAACCUCCUCCAGUGUGUGAAGAGCUUCCCAAGCACCAGGUCCACUGACUGUGGCGUCAAAGACAGUGAAAAGCUGGCCUUGGGGUAAUGCCAUCCAGGAAGGCAUGCCAGAUCAGAUGCCCAGGUUGCAGGAGCAGAUGAAAUAAUGAGUACAGAAAGCAGAAGAUGCAGAGCACCACGCAUAGCAGGAAGAUGCUUAUUCUUUUUAUUAGAUACAAACUUCUCCAAAAUCUUUUAUGGCUCCCCAUUUUCUCCUUAGGCCUGCACUGAAAGCCUUCCACAGUGUGACCCCAAGUUCCCUGUCCAGCCUCAUUACUCGCCUCUCCAACAUAGCUUGAUUCCACCUACCAGAUACCAUUACCUAGCCAUGGAUGGGCUUCCUGCCUCAGAGCCUUUGCUCAGGUUGUCCCUUCCACCUACUAUGUAUUUCUUUCCAGCAACUACCAUCUUCUCUGCUUGGGCCCUACUGCUGUGGUUCAAGAAGGAACUACCUGAGCAAGUAAGUGUCUUAGAAAGAUAACUAGGGGCCAGGCACAGUGGCUCACACCUGUAAUCCCAGCACUUUAGGAGGCUGAGGCUGGCACAUCGCUUGAGGCCAGGAGUUUGAGACUAGCCUGGGUAAUAUGGCAAAAUCCCAUCUCUU